UUUCCUCCAACAUUCUUUGUUCUUGUGCCUGCACUUUGGAUUCUAGCAUCUGCCACCAGCUCUCCUUGAUCUGUUCCUUUCUUCGCUUGCGGCUUCUGUACAAUGAGCUAUCGCCUCGGAAAGCAAACUUCCACGGAAUGAACCCAAACCCUCGACAACGUCCUCAGUGCUCGGGAUUACCAAGGGUCAAUGUGAGCUCAUCAUUCUCU
rnacentral:lncRNA from 1 species